GACGAACGCUGGCGGCGUGCUUAACACAUGCAAGUCGAACGGAAAGGCCUGCUUUCCCUUGUGGAUUGCGGGUACUCGAGUGGCGAACGGGUGAGUAACACGUGAGUGAUCUGCCCCCAACUUGGGUAUAAGCCUGGGAAACUGGGUCUAAUUCCCGAUAGGACUGCAGGGUGGUGCCUGUGGUGGAACACGAUUUUCUAGUGGUUGGGGAUGAGCUCGCGGCCUAUCAGCUUGUUGGUGGGGUAAUGGCCUACCAAGGCGGCGACGGGUAGCCGGCCUGGGAGGGUGGACGGCCACAUUGGGACUGGGAUACGGCCCAGACUCCUACGGGAGGCAGCAGUGGGGAAUAUUGCACAAUGGGCGGAAGCCUGAUGCAGCGACGCCGCGUGGGGGAUGACGGCCUUCGGGUUGUAAACUCCUUUCGACCGCGAGGAAGCCACCUGGUUGGAAGGGUGGUGACGGUAGUGGUAGAAGAAGCACCGGCUAACUACGUG
rnacentral:rRNA from 1 species